CCUACGUGUGGCAGCAGUGAGGAAUAUUGGUCAAUGGGCGCGAGCCUGAACCAGCCAAGUAGCGUGAAGGAUGACUGCCCUACGGGUUGUACACUUCUUUUAUAAAGGAAUAAAGUGAGGCACGUGUGCCUUUUUGUAUGUACUUUAUGAAUAAGGAUCGGCUAACUCCGUGCCAGCAGCCGCGGUAAUAUGGAGGAUGCGAGCGUUAUCCGGGUUGAUUGGGUUUAAAGGGUGCGUAGGCGGAAUGCCAAGGCAGCGGUAAAAUCGCGGGGCUCAACCUCGCUCCGCCGUUGAUACUGGCGGUCUUGAGUGGGCGAGAAAUAUGCGGAAUGCGUGGUGUAGCGGUGAAAUGCAUAGAUAUCACGCAGAACUCCGAUUGCGAAGGCAGCAUAUCGGCGCCCAACUGACGCUGAAGCACGAAAGCGUGGGUAUCGAACAGGAUUAGAUACCCUGGUAGUC
rnacentral:rRNA from 1 species